rnacentral:lncRNA from 1 species
AGCCACUGCACCUUCAUCAUCAUCUUCUUCCAGAUCACGGUUGCACCCCCUUACCCCCGAACCGACAGACGCAAGGGAAACCAAGGGAACAUAGAGAAGAGGAGAUAAUAAAAAGCAAGAACAAGAGACUAUACAAAAGGCCACAGGAGAACGAAACACACACAAAAACAGGAACCAGAGCUUUUCUUUCUUUCUUUGAGAACAGAGGUGUGAAGAUAGGUGGAGGUGCCUACUUUGGGUGGAGGUGCCUACCUUGGUGGAGGAGGUGCCUACCUUGGGUGGAGGUGCCUACCUUGGUGGAGGAGGUGCCUACCUUGGUGGAGGAGGUGCCUACCUUAGGUGGAGGAGGUGCCUACCUUAGGUGGAGGUGCUUUAACCAACUUGGCCACUUACUCUUGCAUGGAUGCUUGCCUAUAAAUAGGCAAUGCAUCCAAGCAUUGAAAACACACCACAAGAGAGAAACAAGAGAGGAAGAGAAGAGUGAGAGAGGGAAAGUAAUCCCACAAAAUUGUGAGGUAUUUGUGAGAGAGUAAGUGAGGUGUUUUCUCCUAGUAAUAGAGAGAUUCUUAGUUGUUCUCCUAUUAUUUGAGAGAGGUUGUAAUUCCCACAUUACUAGUAAAAUCCUUCUAUACUUGCCCGUGGACGUAGCCUAAUUGGGUGAACCACGUAAAUUCUUGUGUGUCACUUCUCAUUUUAUCUUGUCCCUUACCUUUUGUCUUGUCGGGUUUGCAUGCCAGUAUCCUAACAGUGGUAUCAGAGCCUUCUUGGUUGGUGUUGUUAACACACAAAAGUUAUUCGUGUAUACGGUCACUAUUCACGUCUACGGCACUAUUCACCUAUACUGCACUAUUCAUCCAUACGGUACUGUUCACUUACGUUACUGUUGGCGUAUAUAGAAAGUCAGUGCGGUGAUUAAAUACAGUCUAGGAAGUUCUGUCUAAGGAGAUUGGGUUUUAAGCGGGACCGUUUGUGACCCCUCCAAUCUUUCCUGGGAACUUACUUAGUGAAGUAUUAUUCACACGAUACUAUUUCUAUAUACGUUACAGAUCUGUGAAACGGUGAUAGCUGAAUAGAUCUCGGUGAAUACAAUGGCAGCAAAGUACGAGAUUGAGAGGUUCAAGGGGAGCAAUUUCUCACUGUGGAAAAUGAGAAUCAAGGCAAUCUUGAGGAAAGACAAUUGCUUGGCAGCAAUUGGGGAUCGGCCCGCGGAGAUCACUGAUAAUGCAAAAUGGAAUGAGAUGGAUGGCAAUGCUAUUGCUAACAUACAUUUAGCAUUAGCUGAUGAAGUAUUAUCAAGUGUGGCGGAGAAGAAAACAGCUAAGGAGAUAUGGGAGACUCUAACAAAGCUAUACGAGUCCAAGUCUUUGCACAUAAGAUUUUCUUAAAGCGGAGACUUUAUACCCUUCGAAUGGCAGAAACCACGUCGGUGACUGACCACAUCAACACAAUAAGAACUCUAUUUUCACAACUCACUAUUGGGUCAACAAAUAGAGGAAAUGAACGUGCAGAGCUUCUACUUCAAAGUCUUCCUGAUUCGUAUGAUCAGCUCAUUAUCAACUUGACCAAUAAUAUCCUCUCAGACUAUUUAGUCUUCGAUGAUGUUGCAGCUAUCUUGGAAGAAGAAAAUAGGCGCAAAAACAAAGGAGACAGAAACAGUUCAAACCAAGCUGAGGCAUUGUUAUCAAGAGGAAGAUCAACGGAACGUGGCUCAGUGGGAGUCAAAGGCAGGGGAGGUCCAAAUCAAGAAGUAAGAAGUUGUGAAAUGCUACAACUGUGGCAGAAAAGGGCACUUCAAAAAGGAUUGUUGGUUUAAAAAGGGUAUAGAGAAUACUGCAGAGUCAUCAAACCUCAAGGAUGUGUUGCAAGCACCUCAGAAGAUGGGAGAUUUUAUAUAGUGAAGCAGCAACAAUCUCUACAGAUAGAGAAGAGCUCACUGAGGUCUGGCUAAUGGAUUCAGGAGCAACAUGGCAUAUGACCCCUAGACGAGAUUGGUUCCAUACAUAUGAACCUAUCUCUGGAGGCACAGUGUUCAUGGGUGAUAAUCAUGCUGUAGAGAUUUCUGGCAUUGGCACCAUCAAAUUGAAGAUGUAUGAUGGCUUAAUUCGUACUAUUUCAGGAGUGCGACAUGUGAAAGACUUAAAGAAGAAUCUUUUGUCCGUAGGACAAUUUGAUAGUCUUGGCUGUAAGAUCCGAACAGACAAUGGAAUCAUGAAAAUUGUCAAAGGCGCGCUGGUGGUUUUAAAGGCAAGAAAGACAGUUGCAAACAUGUUUGUAUUAAUGGGAGAAACACAUCGGAGGCAGAAGCAUCAAUCGCAUCAGCCAGUCCUGCAGAAGAGAAGACGAUGAUGUGGCAUCAAAAACUAGGCCACAUGUCAGAGAAAGGUUUAAAGGUUCUCUCUGAUCAGAAGUUACUCCCUGGGCUUACAAAGGUUACUUUACCUUUUUGUGAGCACUGUGUUACAAGUAAACAACACAGGUUGAAGUUUGGCACGUCAACAACUAAGAGCAAAUGCAUCUUAGACCUGAUUCACUCUGAUGUUUGGCAAGCACCGGUUGUAUCCUUGGGAGGAGCAAGAUACUUUGUAUCAUUCAUAGAUGACUUCUCCAGGAGAUGUUGGGUGUAUCCGAUUAGAAGGAAGGCAGAUGUGUUCGCAGUUUUUAAAACCUUCAAAGCGCGGGUAGAACUUGAAUCUGAAAAGAAGAUCAAGUGUUUGAGGACUGACAAUGGAGGAGAAUAUACCAGUGAUGAAUUUGAUAACUUCUGUCAACAUGAAGGUAUCAAAAGGCAGUUCACAACGGCAUACACUCCACAACAAAAUGGAGUGGCAGAGCGGAUGAACAGAACUCUAUUGGAAAGAACAAGAGCAAUGUUGAAGGCUGCAGGUCUAGAAAAGUCAUUCUGGGCAGAAGCAGUCAAUACCGCCUGUUAUGUGAUAAAUCGAUCUCCGUCAACUGCAAUCGAGUUGAAGACACCGAUGGAGAUGUGGACUGGAAAGCCAACUGAUUAUUCUCGAUUGCAUAUAUUUGGAAGUCCUGUGUACGUGAUGUACAAUACUCAAGAGGUCAGCAAGCUGGAUUCAAAAUCCAGAAAAUGUGUAUUCUUGGGAUAUGCUGAUGGAGUGAAGGGGUAUCGCUUGUGGGAUCCCACUGCCCACAAGGUAGUCAUCAGCAGAGAUGUCAUAUUUGCAGAAGAUAAAAUGCAAAUGGAAGAAAAUAAUAGCAUUUUAAAGGAGACUACAGAAGUCCAGAUGGAAAAUACUCAGAAUCAUACUUCUUCUGAAGCUGCACCAGAGCAUGAAGAACAAGAACAAAUAGAGUCUGAAACUCCUGAAGUUCGACGGUCAACUCGUGAAAGAAGACCACCGGCUUGGCACUCAGAAUAUGUUACUGAGAGCAAUAUUGCAUACUGUCUUCUAACAGAGGAUGGAGAGCCAUCAACUUUCCAUGAGGCUAUCAAAAGCACAGAUGUAUCUAUGUGGAUGACAGCAAUGCAAGAGGAGAUUGAAGCUCUGCACAAGAAUAACACUUGGGAUCUUGUUCCGCUACCACAAGGAAGAAAGGCCAUUGGCAACAAAUGGGUUUACAAGAUAAAGCGUGAUGGCAAUGAUCAAGUGGAGCGGUAUCGUGCAAGAUUGGUGGUGAAAGGAUAUGCUCAGAAAGAAGGAAUAGACUUUAAUGAGAUAUUUUCUCCGGUGGUACGACUUACUACAAUCAGAGUAGUCUUGGCAAUGUGUGCUAUAUUUGAUCUUCACUUAGAGCAGUUAGAUGUGAAAACUGCAUUUCUUCAUGGAGAACUUGAAGAAGAAAUUUAUAUGCUCCAACCAGAGGGUUUUGCUGAAACAGGCAAAGAGAACUUGGUUUGCAGGUUGAACAAAUCUCUAUACGGUCUCAAACAGGCGCCGAGGUGUUGGUACAAGAGAUUUGAUUCCUUCAUAAUUAGCCUUGGGUACAACAGACUCAGUUCAGACCAUUGUACGUAUUACAAGAGGUUUGAAGAAAAUGAUGUUUUCAUCAUUCUGUUGUUGUACGUGGAUGACAUGUUGGUAAUAGGCCCCAACAAAGAUCGAGUCCAAGAAUUGAAGGCACAGUUGGCUAGGGAGUUUGAUAUGAAGGACUUGGGACCAGCAAACAAGAUUCUAGGGAUGCAAAUUCACCGAGACAGAAGUAAGAGGAAGAUUUGGCUUUCUCAGAAGAAUUAUUUGAAGAAGAUCUUGCGACGCUUCAACAUGCAAGAUUGUAAGCCAAUUUCCACCCCACUUCCUGUUAACUUCAAAUUAUCCUCAAGUAUGUCUCCUAGCAAUGAAGCAGAGAGGAUGGAGAUGUCUCGAGUACCGUAUGCAUCAGCAGUGGGAAGUUUAAUGUUUGCCAUGAUAUGUACAAGACCAGACAUUGCACAAGCAGUGGGAGCAGCUAGUCGAUACAUGGCAAAUCCUGGUAGAGAGCAUUGGAAUACUAUUAAGAGGAUCUUGAGAUACAUCAAGGGUACCUCAGAUGCCGCAUUAUGUUAUGGAGGAUCAGAAUUUACUAUCAGAGGUUAUGUUGACUCAGAUUUUGCUGGUGACCUUGAGAAAAGAAAAUCCACUACAGGCUAUGUGUUCAUAAUUGCAGGAGGAGCUGUGAGCUGGGUCUCUAAACUUCAGACUGUUGUAGCGUUAUCCACAACAGAAGCUGAGUAUAUGGCAGCUACACAGCUUGUAAAGAAGCAAUAUGGCUGAAGAAACUUAUGGAGGAGCUCGGGCACAAACAAGAGAAGAUUCUUUUGUAUUGUGAUAGUCAGAGUGCCUUGCAUAUUGCAAGGAAUCCAGCGUUUCAUUCAAGAACAAAACAUAUAGAUGUUCAGUAUCACUUUGUUCGCGAAGUGGUGGAAGAUGGAAGUGUGGAUUUUCAGAAGGUUCACACAAAGGAAAACCCAGCAGAUGCUUUAACCAAACCAGUCAACACUGAUAAGUAUAUAUGGUGCAGAUCCUCUUGUGGCCUAGCAGCAACGUAAGCAGCAUGAAGAUGGCAAGUAUUGAAAGGAUAGAAGAAUCACAAAUGAUGAAGUGUGAAGACUUGAUUCAAUCAUCAAAGUCUUCAAGUGGGAGAAUGUGAAGAUAGGUGGAGGUGCCUACCUUGGGUGGAGGUGCCUACCUUGGUGGAGGAGGUGCCUAC